CCUACGGGAGGCAGCAGUGGGGAAUAUUGCACAAUGGGGGAAACCCUGAUGCAGCAACGCCGCGUGAGUGAAGAAGUAUUUCGGUAUGUAAAGCUCUAUCAGCAGGGAAGAAAAUGACAGUACCUGACUAAGAAGCCCCGGCUAACUACGUGCCAGCAGCCGCGGUAAUACGUAGGGGGCAAGCGUUAUCCGGAUUUACGGGGUGUAAGGGGAGCGUAGACGGCUGCGCAAGUCAGAAGUGAAAGCCCGGGGCUCAACCGCGGGACUGCUUUUGAAACUGUGUAGCUAGAGUGCAGGAGAGGUAAGUGGAAUUCCUAGUGUAGCGGUGAAAUGCGUAGAUAUUAGGAGGAACACCGGUGGCGAAGGCGGCUUACUGGACUGUAACUGACGUUGAGGCUCGAAAGCGUGGGGAGCAAACAGGAUUAGAUACCCGAGUAGUC
rnacentral:rRNA from 1 species